GUUGGUUUGUUUCAGUCAAGAGUGUGUCCUCAUGAUGCUGUGAGUGUUACAGGAAUAAAGCAUCUCUUCUGCCUUCAGUAGUUUACUCUUUGAAAGACAGCAUUGAAUGAAAGGAAAAACACCCCGAUGGUACAAGUAGGUACAUUGCUGAGGUGUAGCAAUGCUUUUGGGCACUGUUAGACAACUGAAUCUAAUCCUGGUUUUGUAGCUAUUUCCCUUAUAAAUAAUAUAUUAUUCAAUUAUAUAUCUUAAUUUUUUUUGUCAUGGACAUUGCUCACAUUGUUUUUUGUAACGAGAACUCUUAAAGUUCAAACUCGGUACUGAAGUUAGAGUUCUAAAGUGUAUUUGGUUAUUCCAAUCAAAAGAGUCUUAGUAAUGGCUUUUUUUCCUGCUAAUUGUAAAUUAUUUUGUGCUAUGGAUCUUCAUUUAGGGCUCCCACCUAUCCUCAAAAAAAUCACAUAAGCAUAUUUUAAUUUGAAACUCAGGAGCACACAUCCUACUCUGUUGGCUUCACUUUGCUUUUUAAGCAGUAGCUUAAAAACUGCUGCUGAGAUUGGUGUCCUCAGCAGCUUGUGAAACCAAAGCAUUAGCAAAAAAUAGUUUUGAAUCCCCUGAAGAUUUUGUUAUUGACUUCCAUUAGUGUAAGUUAUGUCCCAGAGUUGCAGAUUGAGCGUAUACAUUACGGGCAUCGGUACAAGGCAGUCCCAUUAAUGCAGGUGUCCUUGAGUGUUGUUUUUUGUUGUUGUUGUUUCACUUUAAUAACACAGAAAAAGUCAUGCGUGAGGGACGUGUUAUGAAUUAUGAUGUUCCCAAACGUGGACCAACUGCCCUUCAUGUGCAAGUCUGCAACGCUUGGUGAUAAGUGCAGCCAUUGCUUGCAGUGAAGCUCUUUUUUUCCUAAUGAUCUUAGCUCAGAGAUAGCCAUCUCUCUAAGUGAACGACUUGGUACUGUUCAUUUUCAUCUCUGUAAUUGUCCAUUUCACAGAUCUUAGCUGGGAAUAAAAAGCAGGCAGGUGAUAGUAUGUCAGCUGCCACUGAUGAACUUGUAGCUGACCCAUACAUCAGUCACAAUUAAUAUUAAUAAUCCUAUUCAAUAGUAUUGAUUGGAAGAACGGAUGAAAUUCAAAUGAGUGCUUCUCAUAAGAUGUGUUUUUGCAGUGUGUUUUUACUUCAGUGAUGUUCGUGUAUUCCCUUUAAGAUACCGUGUUUCCCUUCAGCACACUGGGGGAAAAAUAGCUGUUGUGAAAUAAGUGAAGAUUUGCUUCCUAGAGCAUCUAACAUUGGUAAAACAACUACACCUUAAAUAGACUGCUGCAACAUGGCCUCAUUUCAUGUACAAUGUGGAUACAUGCAUUCAAUCUGCAGUCUGGGCAGUUCUUUAUUACACAUACAGCCUUCUCCGUUUCAAUUUUUAAUUGGUAAAAUAUUGUUUUCUUCCAUUCAAAAAUAUUUUUCCAUUCAGUUUCUGUAUGAAAUUGCCUCUCAGAGAAGUGGGCAGUGGCAGACUCUGCAGAGUAAAUAGUGAUUCUGGAUCUACAUACACUGCUGUCAGAUAUCCACACACGUGCUGCUUUGUUGAUUUUCUUCCUUUCAGUGACUGCAGGUUGUUAUGGCAAUAUUAGCUGUUAUCUGUAUGGUAUUUCCAGGGAGCUGUGUUGACAAAUCAUCAACCUUUAAAAGUGAAUGGAGACUUGUAAAGAAAGGAGACAAAAAGACAGUUAAGUUGCAGUCGUUUCUCUGAGCUUUAAAAGGAAAACAGUCAUUUUCUACAGUGUAAACGGAUUUGCUACAUGGAAUGGGGAAGAGUUUCAGGUUUUCCAAAUGUCAUACUAGGUGAGGUCUUUUUUAAUAUAACUUGAAGUAGAUGAUGAAUUGCUGGGAAGACUGUUAGAGCUGUGCAUCCAUCACUUCCCAAUGCGCCUCAGGCACCUCCCGAAUGUUUGCUUUCUGUCAGACUUAAAAUACUGUGAUGGAUCAAUCCGCCAGUAAAGGUCGGACCUGGCAGCAGUGCUCACUCAUCUGAGAAACCGAAAGGUCAGAGUAGUUAAGGCUCUGGUAAGACCAGAAGCUGAGCAUCACCACGUGGUUGGACUCCCACUCUUAAUUUCAUGCGAUCUUGUUGUGCACCGAUUUGCUGUUCUUCAGCUUUCCCUGAACUUCGUUAAUGGAAGUAAAUCCGUGGAGUGAUGAGCUCUUCGUUGCCGUAUGGGUGUUUUCAGUGAGCUGCUCAGCCUAGCACUGGGGGAGUGUUGUUGUAGCUCUGUGCAGAAUGAGAGCGGUCGUCUGAUGCUGAGAUUUCCAUGCCAUCAAAUAAAAUUGGUUUUAGAAAACAGUGAUUGAAUCGGUAUGCUUUUAGCCAUCUGAACAGUCACUGUGAUAUUAAUGGAACACUCAUGCUAAGCAGGCAGUGUCUCUUGAAGAGCAUAUUUGUAGAUGGUGAUCAUUGCUAAGCCUAGGAACCACAACACAAGAGAAUUUCUGCCGUGUUCAGGGGCUGAAGUGUAACUGAUGUGAACUGGCAGUGUAGGCUGUGCCCAGCAACAAGGAAAGCAGAACCCCAAAUCAUGAGGCUUGGGAUCUCAGAUGGGCUCCCAUUCUUUCUCCAGACCCAUGUCUUUUGUUGAUCCAAGUUAUCUCCCUUCACUGGUUCUGAUGUAUUAUUCAUGUCGUUUCAAUGUGGUUUUAUUUUGAUAAAGGAAUGGAAUUUCCCCCAUUUUAUAGUAAAUGUGAGAAAAAGCUUUUAUGGUGUUGUUUUAGUCCUAGUUCAGCUGUAACCAGAUAAGAAUAAAAACAUCAAAAACUCUGUGGCCUGUCACUGGAGAUUAAGGGAAAGCAUUAUGAAGAUAUAGGACUGUGCUUCAUGUAACUAUUUGCUACAAAUGGAAUGGAGACAUCAUCUAAUUGUUUGUGCCUUAUUCCUUCAGGAGUGUAAGAAGCCUGUCAUGCACAGCAGCAAUAAAAGCUGCGCCGAGCCUUGUAGUGGGGAGAAGGAUUUUAAUGUAGAAGAGACCAGGUGGGAAUUGGUACUGAAACAGAAGUAAAUAUGUACAUUUACUAAGGGAAUCUGUGAUGUAUAAAACAUAACACUAUUUCUUGGCAGUUUUUUCCAUUUGAUGGCACUAAUAUCUCUAUAAUUAAGAGCAAUGGAAGCAUUUAGAGAAAAACUGUGUAGUGUUACAAACCAUUCCUUUUUUAAUUGAACAGCUGUAAUUUCUACCAAUGGAACAAACUAUAUUAUAAGAAAAUGAUUAUUAGUUUAAAAUGCAAAGUUAAAUGAAUGCAAAAUUAACAAACAGAUGGUGAAGAAUUAUUGUGUUUUAUUUCACUCCUGGGUAAAAGGACUCAUGCGUGAUUGUAAAAAUGUCAUCACACUUCGUAAACCUGAAAGCAAACAGAAUUUGCAGUUGUGCACAUCUGUUUUGGGACACUGCUAAAGGGUUAGAAGAAUCAACGUUGUUUUCAAAUAAGGGCAUUCAUCAAAAGGAUAUCAUUUGCUUAACAGUUAUGGCUUCUGCUAAGCAUCAGACCUAAUGUUCUGUGGAAUUCAUUACAAAAUUUGGCAGCUUUUUUCUUUGCAAGCUACUGAGGCAGCGUGCUGCAAAACGAAACAAGCAGCCUCUUCUUGUCCCCACCUCCUGGAUCCCCAGAACAGCAGCUGAAUUACCUGCAAAAUGCUUGGCCUGUGGCUUAAGGUAUUUUAAAUCCGUGCUUCAAAAUGCUUGCCCAAGCAAUGUUGGUGAUGUCAUAGGGGUGAGUGAUGAGAAAAGCAAGUUGCUUAUUUGUGUGGGUUUUUUUGGUAGCUAAUGAAUUAAAAAAAUAAAUAAUAAUAAUAAUAA
rnacentral:lncRNA from 1 species